rnacentral:rRNA from 1 species
CCACACCUAAAAACUUUCCACGUGAACUGUGUUUUGUUGUUUGGGGGCGUGCCGCUUCGGCGGGUGGCCCUUGGCGGGAGGCUAGUCCUCCUGCUUGUUGUAAACCCUUUUGAAUUUGUCUGAACGUACUGCGGGGACGAAAGUCUCUGCUUUGAACUAGAUAGCAACUUUCAGCAGUGGAUGUCUAGGCUCGCACAUCGAUGAAGAACGCUGCGAACUGCGAUACGUAAUGCGAAUUGCAGGAUUCAGUGAGUCAUCGAAAUUUUGAACGCAUAUUGCACUUCCGGGUUAUGCCUGGGAGUAUGCCUGUAUCAGUGUCCGUACAUCACUCUUGGCCGCCUUGCUCCCGUGUAGUCGGGUGUGGGUGGUGCCAGAUGUGGGGCGUCUUGUGUGCGUGCGCGCGCGUUUGCGCGUGCAUGCGGGCGAGUCCCCUGAAAUGUCGGACCUGUGUGUCUCUUUGCCUGAAAAGCUGUGGCGGAUGCUGUUGUGGAGGCUGCCUGUGUGGGCGGUGAGCGACGUAUCUCGUGUCGGGGCGCUGGCGAAGGAGUGGUCUAUUCGCGGUAUGGUUGGCUUCGGCUGAACAAUCUGCUUAUGGGUCGUUUCUUGGCUGUCCUGGCGUUAUGCGGGGUGUGUGGCUUGCGUCUGCGCGUUGGCGUGGCUUCUGAGCGGUUUGUUCGCGUGAGCGUAGUAGGGCGGUCCUCGUGGCCGAGCACGGUCUCCAACUUUGGGAAGCUUGUGUGCCUCGUGUGCGCAUCUCAA